AACGAACGCUGGCGGCAUGCCUAACACAUGCAAGUCGAACGAGACCUUCGGGUCUAGUGGCGCACGGGUGCGUAACGCGUGGGAACCUGCCCUUAGGUUCGGAAUAACUCCCCGAAAGGGGUGCUAAUACCGGAUAAUGUCUUCGGACCAAAGAUUUAUCGCCUUUGGAUGGGCCCGCGUUGGAUUAGCUAGUUGGUAGGGUAAAAGCCUACCAAGGCGACGAUCCAUAGCUGGUCUGAGAGGAUGAUCAGCCACACUGGGACUGAGACACGGCCCAGACUCUUACGGAAGGAGGCAGUGGGAAAUAUUGGAAAUGGGGCGAAAGCUUAUCCCAGCAAGGCCGGUUGAUGGAGGAAGGCUUAGGGUUGUAAAGCUCUUUUACCCGGGAUGAUAAUGACAGUACCGGGAGAAUAAGCUCCGGCUAACUCCGUG
rnacentral:rRNA from 1 species